CUUCGAUGUCGGCUCUUCCUA
rnacentral:ncRNA from 3 species